CACAUUAAAGAACGUGCAACGGAGAACUAUUCUUUAUAAAAACAACAAUAACAACAAACAAAACACCUGGAACCCUCCGUGACCCACAGCAGAUCCCUAUUGCACAACCCUGGAUAGCGAGCCAUGUGCCAUCCCCGAAAGAGGCUCUAGGUAUAAGCAAUAAAGGAAAAGGCAGAAACACUGGAAGGCUCAGUCUUAUUUGUACCAAAGUAUGUAUGCAUCCAAGCUACGCAGGAGGCUAAGGCAGGCGAAUCACAAGUUCAUGGUCACCCUGUAGGGGGAGAGGGCUGUGGGUAGAGCACUUGCCUAGCUGGCACAAGGCCCUAGGUUUAAUCCCCAGCCCAGAAAGAAAAAAAAAAAAAAAACAAAAAAAACCAGAUGGAAAUCCGUAAGUGCAUCAAGAAUUCCUACAAGGAUAUAGAAGAGACUAGCAUUCUGAAGUUUCUAGAGUGUUUACUUCUCCCCCUCCCAAUACUGGGUUUGAACCCAGGGACUUGGACAUGCUAGGCGAGUACUCUACCACUGGGCUACAUCCCCAGCCCAGUUUGUAUAUAUUUAGUACAUUCAAUUAACAUGAUUGCCCAUCUGCACAACAGGAAGACCAGUGGUUUGGGUCGACAGCAGCUCCAAAGCAACUCAAACGGAAAAAACACACAACAGUAAAACGAAGGAACGCCCAACUCAACCUGCAUAAAGAAAGAAAAAGCUGGACACGGAGCCACACCAAACCCCCCCACACAAAGCAUCCCAGGUGCCACAACACCACUAAGAACAUGCAGCACACUGAUGCUCACCUACCACACACAGCUGACCCUGAGAUUUACACACAGAACCCAGGCAACUCAAGGUCAAAAAGGAACUGACAGCCCUGCAGUGGGCUGCCUAGGAGGGUGUGGGGGAAGAGGCAGGGCCCUGGUCUCAUGGAGGCACAGCAAAGAGAGCCCUGGGCAAGGACCCAUUGUCCCUCUGUAGGGAGCAGUCAGCAGGUGGCAGCAGCUGCUCAGCAGGCAGGGGAGCUGCAGGAAAAAAACAUAGGACAGAACAAGCCUACCAGCAAACUACUCAAGCUGGCAAACAGCACACUACACCAAGCUUCUGCCACUUUGAAGUACUUUUGUCCAAUAUUCAGACCUUUUUUUUUUCCCCUAUUUUGUUUCCAUUUUAGCCACAAUUUAC
rnacentral:lncRNA from 1 species